UAUAGAAAUUUAGCAGGGUAAGGGUUAACUUGUACGUUAAGCCCUCGUACUUGCAGGUCUCAAAACAAAACUUCAUUUGUUGUCCAUAUUAUCUAAUUGUGUAUUUUUGUGUGAUACAUUUCAGACACAUUGCAAUGUCAUUCAAAUGUUGAAUGUGUCAGCAAACCCACUUUUCUGAUUGUUGGCGUGAUUUUGGGAGUGGCAAUUAUUUUGAUCACAAUUUAUGCAAGCUAUAUAACAGUAGUAAUGCGGAGAAUAAGAGAUGGGAAUCGUCAUUGUGAAAGACAUGAAAUGCUUACUGCUGCACCAGUAAAUGACACAAGCGAAAUUCAAAACAGUUCAGACGAGGUAUAGAUAACUCUCAUAAUAAAGGAGAAGAUACGUGGGACUUAUAUCCAAAUUAAUAUGGAUAAAAAUGAUUGGCACAAAUUUCCGUAUUCUGACAGUUUCAAGGAAUUGAAUAAUAAUCAGCGCUUAAAGGUUUUACAAUUUGCUUUGUUAUAUAGUUUUGAGCAUUUUAAAUGCCUUAAAAGCUGCAUCUGUUUUAUAAUAAUGUUUGCAUGUUUUCUUUUGAAAUAUUUUAAAUGCUAACAUGCGGGUAAGUUUAAACUUGCAAAUUGGCAUAAACCUGAAACAGAAUGAUAGAAGUACCUGUAUUAUUGCAAGGAGAAGACACGUUUCUUCUAUGUGUUAACGUCUGCAGAAGUUGAAGGGAUUGUUGUCGAUCCAGUAUUCUUGCAUAAAACAAUUUAUAAAGACUAAAUGCGUAUUGUAUUAAAAAAUAAUGACUUCAUGGUUCCAGGACAAUUUUCAUUUACGUUUCUUGUUGCUCUUGGAAACGGUCAACAGUUUUAAAUACCCAUAAGUGGGACGCGCA
rnacentral:lncRNA from 1 species